rfam:Symbiodinium microadriaticum strain CCMP2467 Smic.scaffold654, whole genome shotgun sequence.
ACGGGCUGGAAGUGUUCUUUUUGAUCCUUCGAUGUCGGCUCUUCCUAUCAUUGAGACGCAGAAGUCCCAAAGUGUCGGAUUGUUCACCCGCCAAAAGGGAACGUGAGCUGGGUUUAGACCGUCGUGAGACAGGUU